rnacentral:rRNA from 1 species
GACGAACGCUGGCGGCGUGCUUAACACAUGCAAGUCGAACGGAAAGGCCCUGCUUUUGUGGGGUGCUCGAGUGGCGAACGGGUGAGUAACACGUGAGUAACCUGCCCUUGACUUUGGGAUAACUUCAGGAAACUGGGGCUAAUACCGGAUAGGAGCUCCUGCUGCAUGGAGGGGGUUGGAACGUUUCGGCGGUUGGGGAUGGACUCGCGGCUUAUCAGCUUGUUGGUGGGGUAGUGGCUUACCAAGGCUUUGACGGGUAGCCGGCCUGAGAGGGUGACCGGCCACAUGGGGACUGAGGUACGGCCCAGACUCCUACGGGAGGCAACAGUGGGGAAUAUUGCACAAUGGGCGGAAGCCUGAUGCAGCAACGCCGCGUGCGGGAUGACGGCCUUCGGGUUGUAAACCGCUUUCGCCUGUGACGAAGCGUGAGUGACGGUAAUGGGUAAAGAAGCACCGGCUAACUACGU